rnacentral:rRNA from 1 species
CCUACGGGUGGCAGCAGUGAGGAAUAUUGGUCAAUGGUCGGGAGACUGAACCAGCCAAGCCGCGUGAGGGAUGAAGGUACAGAGUAUCGUAAACCUCUUUUGUCAGGGAACAAAGGCGGGGACGUGUCCCCGGAUGAGUGUACCUGAAGAAAAAGCAUCGGCUAACUCCGUGCCAGCAGCCGCGGUAAUACGGAGGAUGCGAGCGUUAUCCGGAUUUAUUGGGUUUAAAGGGUGCGCAGGCGGGCGGUUAAGUCAGCGGUAAAAGCCCGGGGCUCAACCCCGGCCCGCCGUUGAAACUGGCAGUCUCGAGUUGGAGAGAAGUAUGCGGAAUGCGCGGUGUAGCGGUGAAAUGCAUAGAUAUCGCGCAGAACUCCGAUUGCGAAGGCAGCAUGCCGGCUCCACACUGACGCUGAGGCACGAAAGCGUGGGUAUCGAACAGGAUUAGAUACCCUAGUAGUC